UCAAUUGGAGAACGUUUCAAUUUGCCAAGAUGCAGUCUUCCCUGCAUUUAUGGUCCUCCAGCUCAGAACAAUAGGAAUCAAGCACAUCUCUAAUUUGGUUGCAACAAUCAGUAAUCCUUACUGCAUUAUUGGAGACUUUAAUGCUCUUCUAGACUCUUCGGCUAGUUCAUGACAGAGAUAUUAUUGAUUUAGGAUUUUCAGGCCCUGCCUUUACAUGGUCAGAUAAUGGCACUGUCCGUAAACCCAUAUUCAAAAGAUUAGACAGCUUUGUGCAAUUCUUCUUGGAGGUUGAUUUUUCAAGAAGCGGUAGUUCUUAUCUUCCCAGAAUUCAUAGUGACCACAACUCAUAGAUGAAAGAAAAGGCAGCUGGGAAAACAGUCAAGGUGGCAAAUUCAACAAACUACUACUCACUCUAGGAAAUCAUCUCACCAAAAGGAGUAGGAAAACUUUUGGGCACAUAUCAAGAGAAAUGGAAGAAGCUAAACAAAAACUAGUGGAGCUACAGGAGAGAGGAGGAGGAGAAGGCGUUUCACCUUGUUGUUCUUCGUAGGAUAACAAAAAAUACAAUUCUUGCUCUAAAAAAUGAAUCUGGAGUUUGGUCCUUGGAAUUUGAUGAAAUAAAAAGAAUUUUAGUCUCUCACUUUCAUAAGUUCUUUACUUAAGAUAAUAACUCUGUAGCUGUGAAUCUUUUUCCUCUUGAUACCGCUAACUCAUCCAUUUCUCCAGUUGAAUGCAGUCAGCUAGCAUCAAUUCCAUCUUCCGAUGAGAGCUUCUCCACCAUCAAAGCAAUGGCUCCUACUAGCGCUCCAGGCCCGGAUGGUCACCCAGCCUACUUCUACAAAAAUUAUUGGGGUGUUGUUGAAUUUAUUCAAGAUUGUUUCAGGUACUCCUCAAUUCAUUCUGGCCUCAACCAUACAUACCUUUCUCUUGUACCAAAAAUAAAAAAUCCUGAAAGGCCAUCUGACUUUAGACCUAUUGCUUUAUGCACUGCCUUGUAAUUCCUAUGCAUUUCUUAUCGACAAGUAUGAUACAAAAUUAGCAUGGUGGAAGAAACAUAUUCUUAAUUAUGCUAGUAGGACAACUUUAAUUCAAUCUGUCUUAGCUCUCAUCCCUCUUUUUUACUUGUCUACUUCAAUUGUCCGCAAACACAUUCUUAACAAGGUUUCUCAAACCAUUAGAAAAUUCUGUUGAGGUCAUUCUAGAAAUCAGAAAAUGCUUCUUUAUACCAAAUGGGACUCGUUUACUGCUAAUAAAGAAAAGGGUGGUUUGGGGUUAAGAUAUUUAGAGAAUGUGAACAAAGUUUUGGUGGCCAAGUUAACUUGGAGAUUUCUAAAUGAUACAGACUCUUUCUGGGGUUCUUUACUUAGAGUCAAGUACUUGAAAAAUGCAAACUUCUAGACUAAUAAAAAGCCUCAAAGAUGUUAUAGCACCUGGAAAGCCAUGCUGAGCUCAAGACAUUCUCUUUCUUCUAGCUGUUUGUGGUCUGCUGUGACAGGUACUGAAGUGGAUAUAUUGUUUAAUCCCUGGAUUCCUUCAUUGCCAGGUUUUAAACCAUCCUGACCAAGUCAUUUCUCUGUUGAUGUUUCAAAGAUCUGCUUCUCAAGAUAAACACAUCUGCGCUCCUACCAACUAUAGCGAGUUCAUUUCUAAAUCCUAUCAAAAGUUAUUGUCAAAUGAUGCUGGCGAAUCUUCUCAAUAGUUCAUGAUGGUGUUGGUGUGUUGUCUAAGAUUGUAAGAUUCAUUACUGGGGUUCCCAUGGAGUGUCCUUUUUGCCAUUUAGAAGUUGGAACUAUUGAUCACGUCUUUCUCAAAUGUACUAUUGCUCAGGCUACCUUAUUACUUCUCUAUUAGGCUUAAGAAUCCUAGUUACAGAUAACUUCUCACUCAAAGACUGUGUUCAGAGGUGAUUGCAGGCUAAUGAUGGAGGUUAAGGUUUCGGUAUGGGAGCAUGCUUAUGAUGGGCUAUUUAGAGAGCCAGAAAAAAAAUUAGUUUUUGAUAAUCUUAACCCAAGCAUCUGAAGGAUUAUUAAUGACCGAAUUUACUGGUUCAAUACUUUCUAUUACUUCGGUGAACAUGGUGCUGAUAGUGAUUCUAACCAGACUCCUAUCAAGUCCCGGAUCCCGUACUUCCUCAAUGGUCUCAACCUCAAGGUACGGUAAAGAUUAAUGUUGACGCAGCUGUGAAAAAUGGCAUAGGUUACCUGCUGCAAUUGCAAGGGAUUGGACGGGAUGGUCCAUCUUUGGAGUACAUCUGCUGAUACUCCUUUUACUCAUCCGUUUGCAGCUGAAGCAACCAGUUUUCUUCUCGCUUCUUCCCAGGCUCAGAAAAUGAAUUUUAAUCAGAUUAUUGUUGAGAGGGACUGGCAAGUGGUUGUUAAGGCUCUCACAUCUGAUGCCCAGUCGAAUUCCUUGGACAAUCGCCAGAAUUGUAGAAGAAAUCAAGUCCAGCUCUUUACAACUAUCUGUUAGCUUGCUCUUGCAGGUUAUGCUUAUCAGCAUCAUAUUCCCAACUGCAUCAGUCAUUCUAUCUCUGCAGUUCCUUCUUACAUUCUUUUCUGCUGAGCCUUGUAAUUUUUGUUUCGUUCCGUGGCAACCCAUCAAAAAAAAAAAUGUUAUCCGAAUCAUGUUAAGGUGGGAUUGGAUGCAGAAUUCUAAACGUGGAAUUCAUGGGUCUAAGGGAUUUGGUGGAAUUACAAUUCCCUUGGUACGUUUGGUUGUCCAAAUUUCUUGGAUUCACGUUUCCUUCGGGAUUUAUAAUUCCACCAAAUCCCCCAUUUCGAAUACUAACUCCUCUUAAGGUUUACUGGAAAACUUAUGAGGGAUUUAUGUGCCCACUUUUUUUAACCUUAAAAGCCUUAUUUUCUCC